rnacentral:rRNA from 1 species
GAUGAACGCUGGCGGCGUGCUUAACACAUGCAAGUCGAACGAAGCAUUUAAGACAGAUUACUUCGGUUUGAAGUCUUUUAUGACUGAGUGGCGGACGGGUGAGUAACGCGUGGGUAACCUGCCUCAUACAGGGGGAUAGCAGCUGGAAACGGCUGGUAAUACCGCAUAAGCGCACAGUACCACAUGGUACAGUGUGAAAAACUCCGGUGGUAUGGGAUGGACCCGCGUCUGAUUAGCUUGUUGGCGUGGUAACGGCCCACCAAGGCGACGAUCAGUAGCCGACCUGAGAGGGUGAGCGGCCACAUUGGGAGGGAGACACAGUCGAGAAUCCUACGGGAGGCAGCAGUGGGGAAUAUUGCAAAAUGGAGGAAACGCUGAUGCAGCGACGCCGCGUGAGUGAAGAAGUAGUGCGCUAUGUAAAGCUCUAUCAGCAGGGAAGAUAGUGACGGUACCUGACUAAGAAGCUCCGGCUAAAUACGUG